UACGUAGGGGGCUAGCGUUGUCCGGAAUCAUUGGGCGUAAAGCGCGCGUAGGCGGCCAGAUAAGUCCGGUGUGAAAGUCACAGGCUCAACCUGUGAAUGCCGCUGGAAACUGUCUGGCUAGAGUCCGGAAGGGGCGAGUGGAAUUCCUGGUGUAGCGGUGAAAUGCGCAGAUAUCAGGAGGAACACCAACGGCGAAGGCAGCUCGCUGGGACGGUACUGACGCUGAGGCGCGAAAGCGUGGGGAGCGAACAGG
rnacentral:rRNA from 1 species